rnacentral:rRNA from 1 species
UACGGGGGGGGCAAGCGUUGUUCGGAAUUACUGGGCGUAAAGGGCUCGUAGGCGGCCAACUAAGUCAGACGUGAAAUCCCUCGGCUUAACCGGGGAACUGCGUCUGAUACUGGAUGGCUUGAGGUUGGGAGAGGGAUGCGGAAUUCCAGGUGUAGCGGUGAAAUGCGUAGAUAUUGGGAGGAACACCGGUGGCGAAGGCGGCCACCUGGGCCGGAACUGACGCUGAGGCGCGAAAGCGUGGGGAGCAAACGGG